rnacentral:misc_RNA from 1 species
UUUCCGUAGGUGAACCUGCGGAAGGAUCAUUAAAAAUGAAGCCGGGAAACCGGUCCUUCUCACCCUUGAUUAUCUCAAAUUGUUGCUUUGGUGGGCCGCGCAAGCACCGGCUUCGGCUGGAUUGUGCCCGCCAGAGGACCACAACGCUGUAUUAUAUGUCGUCUGAGUACUAUAAAAUAGUUAAAACUUUCAACAACGGAUCUCUUGGUUCUG